GCACAUCCACCUGGCAGAGGGAGUGUGUGUAAAAGUCCUGAGCAGGUGUGGCCACGGUGCUUGGCCAGCCAAGAGCGGUAAGUGAGUGGGAAAGACCUGCAAAGGAAAACAGAAGGAAAAGGCAAUCCUCAAACACUUGAUGCAUGACCUGCUUUCUCCAAGUGGUGUCUUAAUGAUCACCUUCCUUCGGCUUCUCCUCUUUUUUAAUAUCAAAACAUACACAGACUUGGCUCUACAGGAUCCUCCACAACUGCCUUCUGCACGACCUUCACACCAGACCAGAGGUUGCUACACCCCAACUGCAGUACUUGUAUUUCAAUGACUCAGGGAAAGCAACAAACUUAACCUGAGAAGAUUCCACUUCUGUAGCCCAUAGGCUGCUCACCAGCGUGCUUCCCAAACUGUCUAGUAAGUUCUCAGAAACCAGGGCAGGAUGAAGAGUGUUGCAGACACUGGUGAAACCCAAUUUCCUGGGGAGUUUUGCUGAAAUCUUGGCUGCAAGGGCUGGACCCUAGGUAGGAAAAGUUUCCCAGAUUCCAGGAUGGUAUGCUGCAUCCCAGUGGUUCUGGAGUACGCCUGCACACCAGAGGACCCAAAGGAAAAUUAUGGCACACCUGCGUAUUGAGAAGCCUUCUAAUUAAAACUGAGAUGGAGAUAUCUUA